rnacentral:rRNA from 1 species
AUUGAACGCUGGCGGCAGGCUUAACACAUGCAAGUCGAACGCCCCGCAAGGGGAGUGGCGGACGGGUGAGUAACGCGUGGGAACCUGCACUUCAGUGGGGGAUAACGACGGGAAACUGUCGCUAAUACCGCAUACGCCCUACGGGGGAAAGAUUUAUCGCUGAAGGAUGGGCCCGCGUCGGAUUAGCUAGUUGGUGAGGUAAUGGCUCACCAAGGCGACGAUCCGUAGCUGGUCUAAGAGGAUGAUCAGCCACACUGGGACUGAGACACGGCCCAGACUCCUACGGGAGGCAGCAGUGGGGAAUAUUGGACAAUGGGGGAAACCCUGAUCCAGCAAUGCCGCGUGAGUGAUGAAGGCCUUAGGGUUGUAAAGCUCUUUCGGUGGUGACGAUGAUGACGGUAACCACAGAAGAAGCCCCGGCUAACUUCGUGCCAGCCGCCGCCGUAACAC